AAAGAGAACGUGGCUGCAGAUACAGCAGACUUGCAGACAGGAGCUGUCCUGUCCUCGCUGUCCCCUGCCUCUCCCAUAGCCUGUGUCCGGAGCAACAGAAGCAGUACGGGAGUGUUAUUUUUCAAACGUGCUUCAGUUUCCAUUAGAAAUUUUGUCAGAAUUUGGAAGAUGAACAACCCCUAAAGGGACCAACCGAGAAUGGAUAUGAGUUCAUGUUUUUGCUGUUCAGAAUUUUACGAAUUAUCAGUAGCGAUGUUGGAGCAUGAAGAUUUAUUCAUUAGCAGAAAGAAAUGAAGGCAUCAAGAUUAGCAACAUGCAGGAAGAUGCCAGCUGGUCGGCAUUGUGGUAGCCUGCCAGGCAGCUGAGAAUG